UCUUAAUUUUAUACUUGAAACAAUUGAGGCUUGAAGAUAUUAAGUGUCUUAUCAGGCUAGUUACAUAAAGGAAAUUUCAACUGGGAUGAAAUACUAGCAUCUGGAUCAAAGGUGAAAAGACUCCAUUUAUUUCUACCAAUUCAGACAAUGCAGUGUUAUACAUACACUGAAUGAAUAUUCUGGAUGGCAUUGAUUUGGCAAAACAAAAACAAACCAAUACAGCAAUAACUGCUCCCUUGGAAAAGUUGGUGGAUUCAAAAUCAUGAGGUUCCCUCACCCCCCAUCCUGAGCCAAACAAAACAUUCUUUACCUGCUCAGUCAUACCUGGUAAUUUCACAACGAUUAGGUGAUCGUGUUCCCUGACUCUCAUCGGCAGCAGGGCUCCUGGAAGUCCUGCUUCUCAUUACUACUGUGGACUGGAGCCUCCCCAGAGCUCCCUGGGGUCCUUGGCCUGGGUGAAGAUGGAUGAAGAUCAGAUCCAGCAGCUGUGGGUAGAGGAGGGUCCAGGAAGCAGGCACAAAGAGAGGUAAUUCAUCCACAUGGCAAAACAGAGCAUGAUCUGGGGAAGCUGGAGGCCUCCCAAACAGGGCCUCAACUGUCAGAACAUGUAAUAAACAUAACCAGCCAGAGGACUGAGGGGAGGCAGAAGGCACACAGUUAACCACUGCAGCAGAAAGUAGCAGAAAUGAAGGGAGAAGGCAAUGUUCUAGAUAGAAACUGCUUUAUUGGCCUGGGUUUCUUGGAGCGAAGAAACAUUGAGGAGCAGAUCCCCCAGCUGAUUCAGCAGACGUGCAGCAGAAGCCGACGGAAACCUCUGCUGUUUUAAGGCACUGAGAUUUUGGAGUUGUUUGCUAUCAUAGUGUAAUCUAUCAUCUCCUAACUGAUUCAAUGUGUUUAUCACAAUUAAUUGGUUUUUCUCAGUUUUAAUAACCAUAGAAAUACACAGCUGUCAUUCAGAGCCUCUAACAAGAAAGUGGUGUGACUCAUUAAACUGGUAGCACUCCUGCCAAAACCAAAGCAAUGUGAUCAUUCCAGUAGCAAUUGUUGCAAUAGAACCGUUUUAUUAUUUGUAAGAUAAAUGUAAUUUCUGCUAGGCUUUUUCAGCCUCUGGAUAUAUCUUAGAUGCUCAUGACUACUUCAGCUCCUGUUUUUACUGAGUGUGCUUAGUUCAACUGUCACUGGCUUAUGUAUCCCGGGGCCCUUCCAGUUGGGCAUGCUGGAAAAAAAAACAUCCUCUUUGGAAGCAGUAGUACGUUCUUGAACCUCUCUGAACCUCAGUUUCCUUACUUAUAAAACAAGAAUUACAAAUACUACCUCACAGAGUUGUCAUGAUCAUCAAAUGAAAUAUUAUAAUUGCUGCUCUUCAAGCAGUAUACAGCACAGGUACAGCUGGCUCUCUGAAUGGGUCAGGUACCUUUCAGCUCUAAGGAAGGUGACCAUGAGUUUAGGUUUGCCCUAAAUGCUCCCAGUUUCUGCUACUUGUUCUUAUAUCACAAUUAUUAUUUUAAAAAUAAUGAUGUAUUUAAUUUAAUCUGGAGCAAUUUUGUUCAAUCUUUCUAUGUCUUUUGUGGCAUUGACAUUUUUAAAGUGGACAGGUCAGUUAUUUUGCAGAAUGUUCCUUAAUUUGGUGUUAUCUGUUUCCUCAUGAUUAGAUUUAGAUUAUGCUAUUUUUUGGCAAAAAUGUCACAGAAAGAUGUGUGUUCUUCUCAGUGCUUUGUGUCAAGAGGCACAAGAUGUGAAAUUGUCCCCUUACUGGUGAUGUUAAUUUUGAUCUCUUGGUUAGGUGGUAUCUUCCAGAUUUCUCUGCUAUGAAGUUUACAUUUUCCCCUUUGUAAUUAAUAAGUGACUUUGCAAGAGAUAACUUAAAACUAUGCACAUAUCCUGUUACUCCUGAAACUUUCAUCCAGGAGUUUUAAUAUCCAUUAAUAAUUCUUGUCUAAAUCUAUUAUUGUCAUGGCUGCUGUCUUAGUUUGUGUUGCUAUAACAAAAUACACAGACUACAUAAUUGAUCAAAUAACAGACACUUAUUUCUCACAGUUCUGGAGGCCUUGGAAUUCCAUGAUCAAGACACCAGCAGAUUCAGUGUCUGGUGAGGGCCUGGUGCCUUGGUGCUAAGUCCUCAAGAGAGGAUGAACAUUGUGUCCUCACGCGGUGGAAUGCAGAAGGGUAAAGGGCCUAGUUAGUUGCUAUCAGCCCUUUAAGGCACUUAAUCCAAUCCAUGAGAGCAGAGCCCUCCUGGCCUAAUCACCUCCUAAAGUCCCCACCUCUUAAUACUAUCACAUUGGUAUCAAGAUUCAGCAUAUGAAUUUUGGAGGACACAUUGAGAGUAUAGCAAUUACCAAAUGGUGAUCUUCUAAAUACAAUAUUUUUUUACUUUUAUUAGUUGGCUUUCUACUGUAAGGAAAAGCUUUCCCUUCCCGAUCAUUUGCUUACUCAGAUCCAUAGGGACUCACAUAUGUAGUCUUAUUUUAGUCAAUGGAUUUUGACAUUGAUUUUGUUGAUUUUCUUUGAUGCUCAAAUUGUACCACUGGCCAUCUCUAGUCAUUUUCUAAGUCUGUUUCAAAAACCAUGUCUUUCAGAAGCCUGAUUUAGUCCACUUCAGCCAGUCAGUAACUCUCAUUUCUGUGCUCCUCUCAGUCUAUGUACUUUCCACUCCUUAUACAAGUUUCUUAUUGGGUUGUACUUGUUGGUUUCUUUUCUCACAUUAGAUUGUGAGCUCUUCAGUAUGAAGGAAGUGUCUGAUUUAUCUCUAUAUCCUUAAUGCUUAGCACAGAGACUGGUGCAUGGAGGAAACUCAAUUUUUCCUUAUUAAAAAGCAUGAAUGAAUGGAAGAAAGAAAAACAGUUCUUAAGUUUCUACCAACCAGUUCCAAUCCCUUUUUGGGGUACUAGCUUUAACUAGCAAAAAGAAAUUAUCUGUAACAUUCAUAGCAGGCUGCUGUGAGUCUUGCAAUAGUGAGGCUGAUUCAAGGUGGAUUAAAUUGUCAACAUGUUUGAAUUUAACAUAAAUGAUCCCCCCAUUUCAGAAGCUGCCUGCCAACUCUGAUCUCAUAUCCUUAGUGAUUCUUUACUAUUAGCUUGAUAUGGUGUUGUUUUCUCUCCUAGUUCCUCACUCAAUAGGAACUGCUCUCCCCAAAGAUGAAAAGAAGGGAUGUAAUAACCUUUCCAUCACAGGUGGUGAACCUAGAGGAGAGGAUCUGAAUCCCUGAUCAGUCGGUCCAGGUUUGGCUUCCUUUCUGUGCAGCUCAGAUGAGUGACUUUGGGUGAGUUGCCUAACCUGAUUCAUCCUUUGCUUCCUUCACUCUGAAAUAAGGAUCAUAGCAUCUGUGACCCCAACUGAGGUAACCUGAGUGAAAGCAAAAUCACUUUGGAACUGAGAAACUGCUCUCUGGAACCUCCGCACCUUGGCACGUGGCAAUCCAUUUGCCUGAGAUGCCCUUCCUUGCCUCUGUUGUCUCUUUCUUGGCAAAUCCUUUCUGAUACCUCAGGGUUCUGCCUAUGUGUCAUCUCCUUGAGUGACAUAGUGCACUCCAGGUCUCUGUUUUGUCUGUACACACAUAAAAAGUCCCCUGGGUUAUACAUUUUGUGUUCACAGCCUAAGCCCUGAACUGCACCCGGAUGUUUCUCCUCAAGGUCAUGACGGUGUUAUGUAUUUAUUUCUUUGUAUAAUAAUGAUCCCCAGUUAAACUUUUAUCUUUCUGACCAUGAAAUUAUCUUUUGUCUCCCUCAAGUUCCCCCUCAAAUCACAAGGUGUACCCCAAAUUCUCAUCCUUGAGAAUAUCCUCUAUGUGAGGCACUCAUGCCUGCUCAUCCUAACCCAAUAUACUUCCCCUAGAUUUGGGAAGAAGAAAACUGUUUUAGGUGCCAAGAUGGACUGCAGAGGCCAGAAAAUAUGUAUUAAAAGAGGAGACAAUAUUUUUAUCAGGGAUUUUUAAAAGGAGCCAGAUAGGUGACAUUAAAACUUUCCUUUGGCAGCUCAUUCCCAAUGAAGAAGUAAUCAGACUCCACCUGAUUUAUCAGCUUUCACAACCAACUCUAUUUUCUUUCUCUCAUCCCUGUCUUUCCUUCAAGUGCAAUCUAGGGUGCAGCUACUUUAAUCUUACUGUUCUUCAAACAUGACUUCUUCCUUGUUUCUUUGUCUUGUCUCAAGGUACUUCUUCUGCCAGCAUAUCCUGUCCUAUCCCUCAAUGUUACCCGGAAAAUUGCUCAAAAAUCAUCUUUUCUGUGAAGCAUCCCAAAUCAUCCCCAAGGCAGUAGGUCACUCACUUCUUUGAACAUUCCUCAAUAACAGCACAGAUCAAGGGCCUGUGCUACCUUCUGAUCUGCAGCUGCAAAUAUUGCCUGAUGCAAAAUGAAUACUCUGUAAUAUUUCUGAAAAGGUGAAAGUGAAAUAAUGUGGGACGGAGCUUAUAGUCAUUGUUUAUGUACACAUUCCAGGCAUAGGGUUAGAAGCUUUGAACAUACUGUAUCUUAAUUUUUACAACAACAAUUUUUAGUAAAUUUUCUUAUUUUCAAAGGACACUGGGGAUCAGAGAGUGAAGAACUUGCCUAUGGUCACACACCUGGUAAGCAGACAUCAUAUACAAACCAUGUUCUCUCCAAUACAUACACUACCAUUUCUAUAUUUAGAAAAUAUGUCAUAAAUAGGAUGUAAAUGCUAACUUUUCCUAUUUAAUUUCCUGUUUUACUAGAUUACAUAAGAGGACACAAAUGUUAUAGUUUUGGUUUGUUGCUUAUUUAUCUGUACGACCUUGAAUACAUUUUAAAGGAAUUCACUCAACUAUCAUCUCCUGUAAAAAGUGUUUCUUGAAUCCCUAGGCUGGAUAGAAUAUCUUUCCUUUGUCUUCCUGCUGUGGCCUGUGCAUAUCACUGGUGUUAAUUCAAAUAAUCAUCCCUUAUUUGUCAAUCUUUCCUACUAGACUGUUUUUUCCUUAAGAGCUGGACUGUGUCUUAAUUUAUCUUUUCUUUCUUUGAGCCUCACUCAAGAACUGGCACAUAGUGAAUACCUACUUAGUAUUUAUUGGGUUAAUAAAUAUAUGAAAGAAUAAAACUCCUUACCCUAUUUAGGCCCCACCUUAACAAUAUGAAAAAUAAAAGGUUGGACUAAGUCAGAGACACCACGAAUAUGGUACAUGUGCCACACUGAUCCUUUGCUGUGUCCUUGGCAGACAUUGCAAAUAAAUUACUUCUUUCUAUUCUGGACAUAAUUGCAAAAUCUUUCUCACUUUAGGGUGCACCUCCUAUGAGUGAACUUUAUUGCCAUACUUAAUUAGAUGUUCUUUCUGGCCCUUGACAGUUUCAGAUGCUCAGAGUCUGGUCCUUCCCGUCAGAAGGAAGUAUGUGUAAGAUGCUACCAAAGGUUGGGUCUAGGGGAUGAUGAAUGAUAUUCCUGCCUCUAUGUCACCUCCUGAAUUUUCAUCACUGCAUUCCUGAUUUGACAAGUGAUUUAACAUCCUAGGCUGGGGAAGGACUGAUGGAUGAAUUGGUCCUCUGUGCAUGGCUGUUGGGCAGGAAAUUAAUAAGAAUGCUAGCUGACAUGAUCUAUGGUACUGUCAGCUCAUUAUGCCUGAUUAGCUUCCAGCCUUUCACUCCCUCUGACAGCUACAGGGCCUCAGGGUUUCCAAUGGCAACUAUUUCCCUUUCUCUAAUUGAUUGCUAGGUCUCCGGCCAUGAAACCAAACCCUCCCACAGACUUGUCAGAGUAGGGAACCUUUCUGCAUCAUAUUACGUUCUCCCUUUUGGCAGUGGGAAGGUGAGCUCCUGGAUUGUCUAAGUGGUGUUGACAGUAAAGCCCUUUGAACUCAGGAAACAAAAUUUGAAGGGGUCAAAUCAGUCUAGUUGAUCAAGUUCUUAUCAAACUACUUACCAUGUGCUGAGGUCUGUGUUCAGUAAGGAAAUGGCAAAAGAAGUAGAUCAUAUGACAAUAAAAUAGGAGAGAAGCUUUAAAAUAUAUUUCAACAAACAUUUAUGAUGUACAAUAGCAACAAACACUGUGGCCUAUAUUCAAUUGAAUCCAAAUUGAAUUGUGUGUGUGUGUGUAUAUAUAUGUAUAUAUACACACACAUAUAUAUAUAUACACAUAUGUGUGUGUGUGUGUACAAAGUGAAUAUAUACACACAGGCACACCUUGUUUUAUUGCACUUCAUUCAAUUACACUUCACAGAUACUGCAUAUUUUACAAAUUGAAGGUUUGUGGCAACCCUGCAUUGAACAAGUCUGUUGGUACCGUUUUCCCAACAGCAUGUGCUUGCUUCAUGUCUCUGUCACAUUUUGGUAAUUCUUAUAAUAUUUCAAACUCUUUAAUUAUUAUAUGAGUUAUAGUGAUCUGUGAUCAGUGAUCUUUGAUGUUAGUAUUGUAAUUGUUUGGGGUGCCAGGAAAUAAACUUAAUUGAUAAAUGUGUAUUUUCUGACUGCUCCACAAACUGAUGGUCUCUCUGUUUUCUUCCUUCUCUCUUCAGGCCCCCAUACUCCCUGAGACACAACAACAUUGAUAUUAGACCAGUUAAUAACUCUACAAUGGCCUGUAAGUGUUCAAGUGAAAGGAAGAGUCGCAUAUCUCUCACUGUAAAUCAAAAACUAGAAAUGAUUAGGCUCAAUGAGGAAGCCACGUUGAAAGCUGAGAAAGGCUGAAAGUAGGCUUCUUGUGCCAAAUAGUUAGUCAAGUUGUGAAUGCAAAGAAAACAGGCUUGAAGGAAAUUUAAAGUGCUACUUCAGUGAACACAUGAAUAAUAAGAAAGUGAAUCAGCAUUAUUGCUAAUAGAAAGGAAGUUUCAGUGGUCUGGAUAGAAGAUCAAAUCAGCCAUAACAUUCCCUUAAGCCAAACCCUAAUC
rnacentral:lncRNA from 1 species